rnacentral:rRNA from 1 species
GAUGGAGGGGGAUAACUACUGGAAACGGUAGCUAAUACCGCAUAACGUCGCAAGACCAAAGUGGGGGACCUUCGGGCCUCAUGCCAUCAGAUGUGCCCAGAUGGGAUUAGCUAGUAGGUGGGGUAACGGCUCACCUAGGCGACGAUCCCUAGCUGGUCUGAGAGGAUGACCAGCCACACUGGAACUGAGACACGGUCCAGACUCCUACGGGAGGCAGCAGUGGGGAAUAUUGCACAAUGGGCGCAAGCCUGAUGCAGCCAUGCCGCGUGUAUGAAGAAGGCCUUCGGGUUGUAAAGUACUUUCAGCGGGGAGGAAGGCGAUAAGGUUAAUAACCUUGUCGAUUGACGUUACCCGCAGAAGAAGCACCGGCUAACUCCGUGCCAGCAGCCGCGGUAAUACGGAGGGUGCAAGC